CGGUGGGGUCUCCUAUAGGGCGGGUCGCGUGGUUCUUUUGGUGUGGGUUUUGAAGAUCAGUGGCGGACGGGUGGGGAACACGUGGGCAAGCGGCCUGUAAGACUGGGAUAACUUCGGGAAACCGGAGCUAAUACCGGAUAAUCCUUUCCCUCACAUGAGGGAAAGCUGAAAGACGGUUUCGGCUGUCACUUACAGAUGGGCCCGCGGCGCAUUAGCUAGUUGGUGAGGUAACGGCUCACCAAGGCCACGAUGCGUAGCCGACCUGAGAGGGUGAUCGGCCACACUGGGACUGAGACACGGCCCAGACUCCUACGGGAGGCAGCAGUAGGGAAUCUUCCGCAAUGGACGAAAGUCUGACGGAGCAACGCCGCGUGAACGAUGAAGGCUUUCGGGUCGUAAAGUUCUGUUGUCAGGGAAGAACAAGUACCGGAGUAACUGCCGGUACCUUGACGGUACCUGACCAGAAAGCCACGGCUAACUACGUGCCAGCAGCCGCGGUAAUACGUAGGUGGCAAGCGUUGUCCGGAAUUAUUGGGCGUAAAGCGCGCGCAGGCGGUUCCUUAAGUCUGAUGUGAAAGCCCCCGGCUCAACCGGGGAGGGUCAUUGGAAACUGGGGAACUUGAGUGCAGAAGAGGAGAGCGGAAUUCCACGUGUAGCGGUGAAAUGCGUAGAGAUGUGGAGGAACACCAGUGGCGAAGGCGGCUCUCUGGUCUGUAACUGACGCUGAGGCGCGAAAGCGUGGGGAGCGAACAGGAUUAGAUACCCUGGUAGUCCACGCCGUAAACGAUGAGUGCUAAGUGUUAGAGGGUUUCCGCCCUUUAGUGCUGCAGCAAACGCAUUAAGCACUCCGCCUGGGGAGUACGGCCGCAAGGCUGAAACUCAAAGGAAUUGACGGGGGCCCGCACAAGCGGUGGAGCAUGUGGUUUAAUUCGAAGCAACGCGAGAACCUUACCAGGUCUUGACAUCCUCUGACAACCCUAGAGAUAGGGCGUUCCCCUUCGGGGGACAGAGUGACAGGUGGUGCAUGGGUUGUCGUCAGCCUCGUGUCGUGAGAUGUUGGGUUAAGUCCCGCAACGAGCGCCAACCCUUGGAUCUUAG
rnacentral:rRNA from 2 species